rnacentral:rRNA from 1 species
UUUGGUUAAGUUAGAAAGGGCGCACGGUGGAUGCCUUGACACUAGGAGUCGAUGAAGGACGGGACUAACGCCGAUAUGCUUCGGGGAGCUGUAAGUAAGCUUUGAUCCGAAGAUUUCCGAAUGGGGAAACCCACCAUACGUAAUGGUAUGGUAUCCUUAUCUGAAUACAUAGGGUAAGGAAGACAGACCCAGGGAACUGAAACAUCUAAGUACCUGGAGGAAGAGAAAGCAAAUGCGAUUUCCUGAGUAGCGGCGAGCGAAACGGAACAUAGCCCAAACCAAGAGGCUUGCCUCUUGGGGUUGUAGGACAUUCUAUACGGAGUUACAAAGGAACGAGGUAGACGAAGCGACCUGGAAAGGUCCGUCGUAGAGGGUAACAACCCCGUAGUCGAAACUUCGUUCUCUCUUGAAUGUAUCCUGAGUACGGCGGAACACGUGAAAUUCCGUCGGAAUCUGGGAGGACCAUCUCCCAAGGCUAAAUACUCCCUAGUGAUCGAUAGUGAACCAGUACCGUGAGGGAAAGGUGAAAAGCACCCCGGAAGGGGAGUGAAAGAGAUCCUGAAACCGUGUGCCUACAAAUAGUCAGAGCCCGUUAACGGGUGAUGGCGUGCCUUUUGUAGAAUGAACCGGCGAGUUACGAUCCCGUGCGAGGUUAAGCUGAAGAGGCGGAGCCGCAGCGAAAGCGAGUCUGAAUAGGGCGUUUAGUACGUGGUCGUAGACCCGAAACCAGGUGAUCUACCCAUGUCCAGGGUGAAGUUCAGGUAACACUGAAUGGAGGCCCGAACCCACGCACGUUGAAAAGUGCGGGGAUGAGGUGUGGGUAGCGGAGAAAUUCCAAUCGAACCUGGAGAUAGCUGGUUCUCCCCGAAAUAGCUUUAGGGCUAGCCUUAAGUGUAAGAGUCUUGGAGGUAGAGCACUGAUUGGACUAGGGGUCCUCAUCGGAUUACCGAAUUCAGUCAAACUCCGAAUGCCAAUGACUUAUCCUUAGGAGUCAGACUGCGAGUGAUAAGAUCCGUAGUCAAAAGGGAAACAGCCCAGACCGCCAGCUAAGGUCCCAAAGUGUGUAUUAAGUGGAAAAGGAUGUGGAGUUGCUUAGACAACUAGGAUGUUGGCUUAGAAGCAGCCACCAUUUAAAGAGUGCGUAAUAGCUCACUAGUCGAGUGACUCUGCGCCGAAAAUGUACCGGGGCUAAAUACACCACCGAAGCUGCGGAUUGAUACCGAAUGGUAUCAGUGGUAGGGGAGCGUUCUAAGGACAGUGAAGUCAGACCGGAAGGACUGGUGGAGUGCUUAGAAGUGAGAAUGCCGGUAUGAGUAGCGAAAGACGGGUGAGAAUCCCGUCCACCGAAUGCCUAAGGUUUCCUGAGGAAGGCUCGUCCGCUCAGGGUUAGUCAGGACCUAAGCCGAGGCCGACAGGCGUAGGCGAUGGACAACAGGUUGAUAUUCCUGUACCACCUCUUUAUCGUUUGAGCAAUGGAGGGACGCAGAAGGAUAGAAGAAGCGUGCGAUUGGUUGUGCACGUCCAAGCAGUUAGGCUGAUAAGUAGGCAAAUCCGCUUAUCGUAAAGGCUGAGCUGUGAUGGGGAAGCUCCUUAUGGAGCGAAGUCUUUGAUUCCCCGCUGCCAAGAAAAGCUUCUAGCGAGAUAAAAGGUGCCUGUACCGCAAACCGACACAGGUAGGCGAGGAGAGAAUCCUAAGGUGUGCGAGAGAACUCUGGUUAAGGAACUCGGCAAAAUGACCCCGUAACUUCGGGAGAAGGGGUGCUUUCUUAACGGAAAGCCGCAGUGAAUAGGCCCAAGCGACUGUUUAGCAAAAACACAGCUCUCUGCGAAGCCGUAAGGCGAAGUAUAGGGGGUGACACCUGCCCGGUGCUGGAAGGUUAAGGAGAGGGGUUAGCGUAAGCGAAGCUCUGAACUGAAGCCCCAGUAAACGGCGGCCGUAACUAUAACGGUCCUAAGGUAGCGAAAUUCCUUGUCGGGUAAGUUCCGACCCGCACGAAAGGUGUAACGAUUUGGGCACUGUCUCAACCAGAGACUCGGUGAAAUUAUAGUACCUGUGAAGAUGCAGGUUACCCGCGACAGGACGGAAAGACCCCGUGGAGCUUUACUGUAGCCUGAUAUUGAAUUUUGGUACAGUUUGUACAGGAUAGGCGGGAGCCUUUGAAACCGGAGCGCUAGCUUCGGUGGAGGCGCUGGUGGGAUACCGCCCUGACUGUAUUGAAAUUCUAACCUACGGGUCUUAUCGACCCGGGAGACAGUGUCAGGUGGGCAGUUUGACUGGGGCGGUCGCCUCCUAAAGUGUAACGGAGGCGCCCAAAGGUUCCCUCAGAAUGGUUGGAAAUCAUUCGUAGAGUGCAAAGGCAUAAGGGAGCUUGACUGCGAGACCUACAAGUCGAGCAGGGACGAAAGUCGGGCUUAGUGAUCCGGUGGUUCCGCAUGGAAGGGCCAUCGCUCAACGGAUAAAAGCUACCCCGGGGAUAACAGGCUUAUCUCCCCCAAGAGUCCACAUCGACGGGGAGGUUUGGCACCUCGAUGUCGGCUCAUCGCAUCCUGGGGCUGUAGUCGGUCCCAAGGGUUGGGCUGUUCGCCCAUUAAAGCGGUACGCGAGCUGGGUUCAGAACGUCGUGAGACAGUUCGGUCCCUAUCCGUCGUGGGCGUAGGAAAUUUGAGAGGAGCUGUCCUUAGUACGAGAGGACCGGGAUGGACGCACCGCUGGUGUACCAGUUGUUCUGCCAAGGGCAUAGCUGGGUAGCUAUGUGCGGAAGGGAUAAGUGCUGAAAGCAUCUAAGCAUGAAGCCCCCCUCAAGAUGAGAUUUCCCAUAGCGUAAGCUAGUAAGAUCCCUGAAAGAUGAUCAGGUUGAUAGGUUCGAGGUGGAAGCAUGGUGACAUGUGGAGCUGACGAAUACUAAUAGAUCGAGGACUUAACCAUAUAAUAUGUGAUUUCCCAUAGCGUAAGCUAGUAAGAUCCCUGAAAGAUGAUCAGGUUGAUAGGUUCGAGGUGGAAGCAUGGUGACAUGUGGAGCUGACGAAUACUAAUAGAUCGAGGACUUAACCAUA